AGUUUGUCUACUCUCAGAUCCUGCCAGCGCAGGCCCUUCCCCCAAGCCGACCACCAGCUCUGUCAAUGUCACCACAGGCAGGACGCGUUCAUCCGCUGAAGGUUUUCACAAUAAGAGCUGUUCCAGGGGCUAGGGCACUCUACCACAGACUACUACAGUUCAGGUUUACCUGAAGGAAUCUUGUUGUAGUAGCGGAUCGAGUCCUUCCCUAAGAAGUCAAACUCCACCACGUACUCCUGGUCGUCCAUUUUGGGGUACAGGUUGAUGUGCUCCACCCGCAGUGAGCAGCAGCCAACUGUGUCGGCUGUCUCCCCUUCCUCCUUUUCAUUACCUGCCCUUAGUGCAAGCUACGGGGGAGGAAACACCAAACAUCGCAACAGCUCUCUGCCUGAUCCUCAUCUCUUUGGAUUUCCAGUCGUCUCUAUACUGGGUACGGAUACGAUCCACACACUUCUUUAACCGUCGAGCAGUCUCAU